AACGUAGGAAACAAACGUUAUCCGGAGUUACUGGGCGUAAAGGGCGUGCAGGCGGUCGACUAAGUCUGGCGUGAAAGCUCGCGGCUAAACCGCGAGAGGUCGUUGGAUACUGGUUGACUAGAGGACGGUAGAGGCGUGUGGAAUUCCGGGUGUAGCGGUGAAAUGCGUAGAUAUCGAGAGGAACACCUGCGGCGAAGGCGGGUUGCUGGGCCGACACUGACGCUGAUGCGCGAAAGCCAGGGGAGCGAACGGG
rnacentral:rRNA from 1 species